rnacentral:rRNA from 1 species
AAAAAGAGGAGUGGCGAACGGGUGAGUAACACGUGGGUAACCUGCCCAUCAGAAGGGGAUAACACUUGGAAACAGGUGCUAAUACCGUAUAACAAUCAAAACCGCAUGGUUUUGAUUUGAAAGGCGCUUUCGGGUGUCGCUGAUGGAUGGACCCGCGGUGCAUUAGCUAGUUGGUGAGGUAACGGCUCACCAAGGCCACGAUGCAUAGCCGACCUGAGAGGGUGAUCGGCCACAUUGGGACUGAGACACGGCCCAAACUCCUACGGGAGGCAGCAGUAGGGAAUCUUCGGCAAUGGACGAAAGUCUGACCGAGCAACGCCGCGUGAGUGAAGAAGGUUUUCGGAUCGUAAAACUCUGUUGUUAGAGAAGAACAAGGAUGAGAGUAACUGUUCAUCCCUUGACGGUAUCUAACCAGAAAGCCACGGCUAACUACGUGCCAGCAGCCGCGGUAAUACGUAGGUGGCAAGCGUUGUCCGGAUUUAUUGGGCGUAAAGCGAGCGCAGGCGGUUUCUUAAGUCUGAUGUGAAAGCCCCCGGCUCAACCGGGGAGGGUCAUUGGAAACUGGGAGACUUGAGUGCAGAAGAGGAGAGUGGAAUUCCAUGUGUAGCGGUGAAAUGCGUAGAUAUAUGGAGG